rnacentral:lncRNA from 1 species
CUCCCGUAGCCAACUUUAGUAAAAUGAAAAGAGAGAAAAGAGAGAAGAGAGAAAAAGAAAGGAAGAAAGAGGGAAAGAAAUAAAGAGGAGAGAGAGAGAAAAGAAAAUGAUGACUUUCUCCAUUCCCAUAUUCCUUCCCGUAGCCCAAUUUUAAGCAAGAGAGAAGAUAGAGGAAGAGAGGAAGAAGAAGAAGGAAAUGAAGAAAUAAAGAAGAAAUGAAAAAGAAAUCAAGAAAGGUAUUUUUCAAAAUCUUGAUAAUUUUAGUUUAUAGAUUUUAUGUAAAGAGUACAUACUUAGGUGUGUAUUUAAUGAUUUAAACUUGUAUAAGCAUGAAUCAAGUGAGAGAAAUCAAGAAAUCAAAUGAAAAGAAAAAUCUGGAAAUUUUCAUAAAAAUUAGUUUACUAUUUGAUUUUGUAAAAUCCAUAACUCUUUGUGUAUAAUGAGUUAGGAGAUGAGCUAUAUAUCAAAAGAAAGCCCUUGAAGUAAGCUAAAUGCAAAAAUUUGAAUCACCCAAAAAUUCUUUGUAAAUUUGUCGUGGUGACUGUUUGAGUGAAAUUGGUCCGAAGGACUUAUAGGCUGAAAAAUCAGUUUUAUUAAGCUUUAUUGCGUGAGUUAUAAUUUUUAAUCCGACCGUUGGAUCGUUGUGAUUUUCGGAUAUGUUAUAUAUAUAUAAGUUGAGUACAUGUCCACAAAUUUUGAACCGUUAAAGAUUAACAUAUAAUUUGUUAUGAAUUUUGUGAGGUGGCUGGUUCAAAAAUCUUUGAGCAGAAAUUUCGGUAAGACUAUUUCUCUAUGUUAGAGUUAGAAUUUGGGAAAACUUUCUUCUACAAAGUUGUAGAGAAUUAAAUUUUACAUGGAAAGGGCUUAGGAUCCUUAUUUUUCUGAUAAAAGGUAAUUAUUAUGAAUUAUUGAAAUUUCUAAAUAUUAGAGUUUAUGAUUAAUUUAUCAAAAAAAUUAUUUGGGUUGAAAUAUUUUUACAGAAUGCUUAUAAUAUUAUCUUAGAAUUUCUGUAAAAUUUUGAUGAAUUAUUGAAAAGCAGAAAUAUUUAUUAUAUUUUAAAACUAUUUAUGGUUAGUUUAAAAAUGGAGGAAAUUCAUAGAAAAUUCUUUGAAUGAUGAAAAAUUAUGAUAUUUAGUGAAAAAUCUUAUAAUGUUAUUUUAUAAUUUCUGGACAGUUUUGGAAAAUUAUUGAAUAACAGAAAUAUUUAUUAUAUUUUUAAACUAUUUAUGGUUAGUUUAAAAAUAGAAGAAAUUCAUAAGAAAUUCUAUGAAUGGUGAAAAAUUAUGAUUUUUGCUGAAAAAUAUUAUAAUAAUGUAAUAUUAAUAUUGAUGAUGUUUUCAAGAUAUAAAAGUUUAUGGAGUUAGUAUUUCUAUUUUGAAGCUAUUAAAUGAUAGUUUUUGUAAAUAGAAAUAAUUAUUGAAAAUUGUUGGUUAAUCUGAAAAAAUAUGAAAAUUAUUUGAAAAAUUCAGAAUCAUAUUUUUAAAUAUUUUAGAAGUGUUAGUAAGCUCAUGAGGUGUCGGGAUGUAAACGCACUAGUAACGAAUGAGUUAUGAUAAAAACAAAAAUAAUAUUUUUGUUAAAGUAAAAAUGGUGAUAAUACCACAAUAGUGGAUUGUCAUAUAUGAGGUUUUAGAUUUCUUAAGUUUUAUUAUUCACUUCUAAAGUUUUGGAAUAUGAAUAAUGAUUUUAUGUGAUAAAUAGAGAUAACUUGAAUGAAUAAUGAAUUGUUAGUUGGUUUAUAUGUUAUUCGAGAUAAAUAUGAUUUGGUGUUGAUCCGAUCCCUACUUUUAAUAGAAUUUAAAUUGUUCAUAGUAAGGUGUUGAUUUGAUUCUUAUGUAAGAAGUCGCCAUGUAUUUUAUUCAAUAAUUGUCACAGUAAUUAUUGCACAGUGAUUUAUAUUAUUGAUUCUUAAUUACGUAAGAAGUCACUCAGUCUUUCAUUCAAUAAUUGUCACAGUAAUUAUUGCACAAUGAUUUAUAUUAUUGAUUCUUAAUUACGUAAGAAGUCACUCAGUCUUUCAUUCAAUAAUUGUCACAGUAGUUAUUGCACAGCGACUCAUAUUAUUUGAUAUGAUAUAAUUAAACCAGUUGGCAGUAUUGUGAGUCUAUGUUAAUAAUUAUGAAUAAAUUGUUGAAAGAUUUAAAAUGUGUAAAUAAUUGAUAAAUAAAAGGGUGUUGAUUAAAGAUAAAUAUGAUAUACAGAUGUUUGUUCAAUUAUUUUCUUUUUACAAAAAUAAGUUUGGCAGGACUUGCCGACACUUUACUUUUUCUAAAGUAGUAUGGACCACAACUCUAUUAUUGAACAAAUUUUGUUAAAACGUGUACAAGUUGGUUUAAUUUUCUCCGUGGGACCAUAAAUUCCACUACCAUUAUUAUAUACCUCAUGUGAUUAUUUUGUCAAAGCAGGUGUGCUAGUUGUUUACUAAAUUUUCAGUAUAAAUAGGUUGCCAGGUUGAGCCACUAAAGACACACCAUCACUACAUUGAAAAUAUAUAAUUCUUUUACUUCAAUAUUGUGAGUAUAAUUUUGUGAGUAUUUCUAUUGAGUGUAAUGUUACUCCAAGUGUAGAUAAGGAGUGCAAGCAUUGUUUAAGUUGAUCAAUUUCACAGAAAUCAGAAUCAAGUCACAUGCUAAAGGUAAGGGAUAUCAUUAUUGUGGUAAGGAGGUAUCAUUUUUAUGGUAAAAAGAAUAUCAUUUUCUUUCAUACUCCAUAUUAUGAUAAGAUAUUAUUAUUCGUUUAUUUAGUUUAUCUUUAAAUGGUGAAAAGUCCUGAAAGGAUUAGAAUAUUCUUAAUAGUUUGUGCUUUAUUUAUUAUUAUGUUAUCAAUUUAGACUCUGGAUAAUUAAGUUGAAAAUCAUUAAGAUCUAUCUAAUCUAAUUAUUAUGAUGAUUUAUGUUUAUUCAUUAUAUAUAUCAUUGUCAUCAUUUUCAUGCUUAUAUUGUGUUGAAAGUCAUCUUUGGCCCGUAGUGCAUAGAUGGACUUGGUAUGAUUAUGACUAGGGAUUAUUCGAUAUAAUCAUGAUCGUAAUGUUAUAAAUGAUGUGGUAAAAGUCAUCUUUGGCCCAUAGUGCAUAGAUGGACUUGGUAUGAUUAUGACCAGGGAUUAUUCGGUAUAAUCAUGACCGUAAUUGAAAACACAAAUAUCUUUGGCCCGUAGUGCAUGGAUAAUUCAUGGUCAUGAUACUAUUAAGCUGAGUCUCAGCAUUAUUGGUUUUACAGUUGUAUAUCUUUGGCCUGUAGUGCAAAGAUGGACUGUUGGUCAUUGGUUUUACAAUUGUAUAUCUUUGGCAUAUUGUGCAAAGUUGGACUGUUGAUUUACUUGAUUAUAAAUAUAAAUUGUGAUUUAAUUAUAAUCUGUGGUGGUUCAGGUGAAGACAGGUGAUGAGAGUUCUCUUUGUCUUGGGUAUAACCAAGAACUAUUGAUGAGUAUUACAGGAAUAAAAUAUUAACGAUGGACUUUUAGUCUAUGGGAGAUAGUAGACAUUAUGUUCUACUUGAUUCUUCUAAUGGAUUGUUGAUUCCGCUGCUAUUAUGGUUGAAAACUUUUAUCUUCUACCAUAUGUUAUAAAUAUCUGAAUUCUUUUGAUAAUUUAAUUAUCUUAAGUCAUGAUAUUCUUUACUGGGCUAUUUGUGCUCACCUUUUUACUUCACCACCCCUUUUAGGUAAUAAAAGUGUAGCUGGGACUAGCAGAGAGAACAUGGGUAUAAAGUGGUGAUACAAAUUAGUCAUAAGCCUAAUCAAAUUAUGAAACGGCGUGGCAUAAUAAUUGUACUGAGAACUUAAAAUGUGUGUGACAUGUUUUAUACAUCAUUUGAUAUGUAAUUUUGGUAAACUAUAAUAGGGUGAGGCGAAUCAGAAUUUGGAAACAUCAAAGGUGCACUCCAUUAGAAUGAGGAGAACAUAAAUCUUCUCGUGUCCCUUCGGGGACUUAAUACAUUUGCUGGUGUACUUUAUAUGGCAUUGUAAUAAUUUAAAUAUGAAUAUUGUCGUAUUAUAUACGUAACAAUAUUUGUAUUGAAACUCACAGUAUAUGAGUCAUCGUAUUUUGUACGACAGUUGUAUAAAUGGAGUUGUAAGUAGUGUAUUUUCUGGCGACCCAAGAUGGGUGAUGUGUACCUAUUUUUGGGGGCGUCACAUAAUUAACUAGCUUUAGUGAGUAAAUAAAGUAAAGCAAGUAAUAAAAUUAACACCAUGAUUUUUUACGUGGUUCAGCUAUUACCCUCUAUAAUAAUAGCCUAGUCCACGUCCAAUACCAAUUAGUAUUGGAGACUCACUUUUAUUUCUUUAAAAAUGACCCUUGUUACAAAACAUAUUCUAUCAAAUUGAAUUACAAUAAUUCACUUGAGCACAUUUUCUCCUUGUGCACCAAUGCACCCCUUAAGCACCUAUGCUUCCUUGAACCUGUUUGUAAACAAACCUUAAUCCACCUGGAUUAAAUUC